AGUGAACGCUGGCGGCAGGCCUAACACAUGCAAGUCGAACGGCAGCACAGGAGAGCUUGCUCUCUGGGUGGCGAGUGGCGGACGGGUGAGGAAUACAUCGGAAUCUACUCUGUCGUGGGGGAUAACGUAGGGAAACUUACGCUAAUACCGCAUACGACCUACGGGUGAAAGCAGGGGAUCUUCGGACCUUGCGCGAUUGAAUGAGCCGAUGUCGGAUUAGCUAGUUGGCGGGGUAAAGGCCCACCAAGGCGACGAUCCGUAGCUGGUCUGGGAGCAUGAUCAGCCACACUGGAACUGAGACACGGUCCAGACUCCUACGAGAGGCAGCAGUGGGGAAUAUUGGACAGUGGGCGCAAGCCUGAUCCAGCCAUACCGCGUGGGUGAAGAAGGCCUUCGGGUUGUAAAGCCCUUUUGUUGGGAAAGAAAUCCAGCUGGCUAAUACCCGGUUGGGAUGACGGUACCCAAAGAAUAAGCACCGGCUAACUUCGUGCCAGCCGCCGCAGUAA
rnacentral:rRNA from 1 species